rnacentral:misc_RNA from 1 species
AAAUACUCUAAAUACUAAAAAAAAUUAAAAAAAUAUUUUUUUAAAAAAUAAUUCCUGCAAAAUAAACAAGCUAAAAUAGACUAAAAUAGGCGUUUGCCUAAAAUUUUAAAAUAAUUUUCUAAAAGACACUUUUUAACCUAUCAAUCUCGACCUCAACUCUAAUCGAAAAUUUAAAAGAAUAUUUUUCAAAAAAAAAAAUUAAAUAAUAUUU